AGGGAGCACACCUUGCUUGGAAGUUCAUUGGCAUUGGCUUUUUUAGUGAACUGGAAAUGUGGCAGAAAUUGGAACUAUUUUGGACAGAACUAUUUCGGAAGGAAAGCGAUGGAACAAAAGAGACAGGGAGAGAAGGUGACAGCAGAGUCAGUUGCUCAGAUUUGACAAGUUUAAACUCAUCAUGGUGCCUAGAAGAUUUGCAGAAUUCAUUGAGCAGGAAGUGAAGAGCUGGAGGUAUGUUUUCCUAGAUUGACGCCUACAGAAUCCUGGCAGCUUUUGCUAUGUCACCAGAUCCCUGAGCUCCCAGGAAUAUAUGCUUGUCAACUUCCCCGCUCAGAGUUAAAUAUACACGUGAGAUGGAUUUUCCCCUUAAGUCAACUUCUCCGGUGCUGCUGUUGGGGAAGAUAUCAUAGCAAGAUCUGACAGCCUGUCUGGAAGAGGUCUGGAGUCUGGCAGCCUUCGUCACAGGUUCAUGCUUCCACCUCUGCCCUGCAGUUUCUGUGGUCGUCUGCAGUGAUGGAAAGAGGCCUGGGUCCUUACCAUUGACAGAAAUUACCACCUAAAGAGACACCAUUUCCUUAGCAAUUUUUGAGGCAUGUAAAGUUUACCGAGCUUGCUAGAGUUUGAUUGAGAACAGUUUGCUCAAACUAAACCUUUAUAAUAAAAUCUCUCUUAUGAUACU